AUUCAUUGUAAGCUUGUUGCAUGGGACCUGAGGUUUUUGAUAUAGAAAAGAAGGCCUGCCACUACAUUAAAGAGACUGGAGAAUGGGAGCUGCUGGACGACCCGUCUCAAAGUGACCUCUGCAAGUGCUGUGACUCGAGUUGCAAGCCUCGGUUGAAGAGGGGUGUGGAUUCAGAACCCCAGGGCCUGGUUCAAAACUCUGUUCUUGGACCGCUCACAAUAGUGGAAAACUCUGAAACCCGGAUCCCCAGUGAAUUUGUCAAAUAUCCUACUGUAGAACAAGUUGACUGGUUGGUGUAAUGGUCUGGAACACUUUGCUUGUCAGGGAUGGCUGUCUUUUCUGUCUCUACAGCCAUCUAAUUGUAGGUGGCCUGAAGGGUGCAUCACUUUCCACUAUCCCCAGUAUGGAUAUGAAGUCCUUUGACUUGAGCACGUUUCAAUAAAAUGAAUACUUUA